AUAGGGGAGCCGCAGGGAAACCGAGUCUUAACUGGGCGUUAAGUUGCAGGGUAUAGACCCGAAACCCGGUGAUCUAGCCAUGGGCAGGUUGAAGGUUGGGUAACACUAACUGGAGGACCGAACCGACUAAUGUUGAAAAAUUAGCGGAUGACUUGUGGCUGGGGGUGAAAGGCCAAUCAAACCGGGAGAUAGCUGGUUCUCCCCGAAAGCUAUUUAGGUAGCGCCUCGUGAACUCAUCUUCGGGGGUAGAGCACUGUUUCGGCUAGGGGGUCAUCCCGACUUACCAACCCGAUGCAAACUACGAAUACCGAAGAAUGUUAUCACGGGAGACACACGGCGGGUGCUAACGUCCGUCGUGAAGAGGGAAACAACCCAGACCGCCAGCUAAGGUCCCAAAGUCAUGGUUAAGUGGGAAACGAUGUGGGAAGGCCCAGACAGCCAGGAUGUUGGCUUAGAAGCAGCCAUCAUUUAAAGAAAGCGUAAUAGCUCACUGGUCGAGUCGGCCUGCGCGGAAGAUGUAACGGGGCUAAACCAUGCACCGAAGCUGCGGCAGCGACACUAUGUGUUGUUGGGUAGGGGAGCGUUCUGUAAGCCGUUGAAGGUGGCCUGUGAGGGUUGCUGGAGGUAUCAGAAGUGCGAAUGCUGACAUAAGUAACGAUAAUGCGGGUGAAAAACCCGCACGCCGGAAGACCAAGGGUUCCUGUCCAACGUUAAUCGGGGCAGGGUGAGUCGACCCCUAAGGCGAGGCCGAAAGGCGUAGUCGAUGGGAAACAGGUUAAUAUUCCUGUACUUGGUGUUACUGCGAAGGGGGGACGGAGAAGGCUAUGUUGGCCGGGCGACGGUUGUCCCGGUUUAAGCAUGUAGGCGGAUGUUCCAGGUAAAUCCGGAACGUUAUUAACGCUGAGGUGUGAUGACGAGGCACUACGGUGCUGAAGUGACAAAUGCCCUGCUUCCAGGAAAAGCCUCUAAGCAUCAGGUAACAUCAAAUCGUACCCCAAACCGACACAGGUGGUCAGGUAGAGAAUACCAAGGCGCUUGAGAGAACUCGGGUGAAGGAACUAGGCAAAAUGGUGCCGUAACUUCGGGAGAAGGCACGCUGAUGGUAGGUGAAGUGACUUGCUCAUGGAGCUGAAAUCAGUCGAAGAUACCAGCUGGCUGCAACUGUUUAUUAAAAACACAGCACUGUGCAAACACGAAAGUGGACGUAUACGGUGUGACGCCUGCCCGGUGCCGGAAGGUUAAUUGAUGGGGUUAUCCUCGCGGAGAAGCUCUUGAUCGAAGCCCCGGUAAACGGCGGCCGUAACUAUAACGGUCCUAAGGUAGCGAAAUUCCUUGUCGGGUAAGUUCCGACCUGCACGAAUGGCGUAAUGAUGGCCAGGCUGUCUCCACCCGAGACUCAGUGAAAUUGAACUCGCUGUGAAGAUGCAGUGUACCCGCGGCAAGACGGAAAGACCCCGUGAACCUUUACUAUAGCUUGACACUGAACACUGGUCCUUGAUGUGUAGGAUAGGUGGGAGGCUUUGAAGUGUGGACGCCAGUCUGCAUGGAGCCAUCCUUGAAAUACCACCCUUUAAUGGCUGGUGUUCUAACGUGGGCCCGUGAUCCGGGUUGCGGACAGUGUCUGGUGGGUAGUUUGACUGGGGCGGUCUCCUCCUAAAGAGUAACGGAGGAGCACGAAGGUCAGCUAAUCCUGGUCGGACAUCAGGAGGUUAGUGCAAUGGCAUAAGCUGGCUUGACUGCGAGCGUGACGGCGCGAGCAGGUGCGAAAGCAGGUCAUAGUGAUCCGGUGGUUCUGAAUGGAAGGGCCAUCGCUCAACGGAUAAAAGGUACUCCGGGGAUAACAGGCUGAUACCGCCCAAGAGUUCAUAUCGACGGCGGUGUUUGGCACCUCGAUGUCGGCUCAUCACAUCCUGGGGCUGAAGUAGGUCCCAAGGGUAUGGCUGUUCGCCAUUUAAAGUGGUACGCGAGCUGGGUUUAGAACGUCGUGAGACAGUUCGGUCCCUAUCUGCCGUGGGCGCUGGAGAAUUGAGGGGGGCUGCUCCUAGUACGAGAGGACCGGAGUGGACGCAUCACUGGUGUUCGGGUUGUCAUGCCAAUGGCAUUGCCCGGUAGCUAAAUGCGGAAGAGAUAAGUGCUGAAAGCAUCUAAGCACGAAACUUGCCCCGAGAUGAGUUCUCCCUGACUCCUUGAGAGUCCUGAAGGAACGUUGAAGACGACGACGUUGAUAGGCCGGGUGUGUAAGCGCAGCGAUGCGUUGAGCUAACCGGUACUAAUGAACCGUGAGGCUUAACCUUACAACGCCGAAG
rnacentral:rRNA from 1 species